rnacentral:sRNA from 1 species
UGGCGUGUGCCUGUAAUCCCAGCUACUCCGGAGGCUGAGGCACAAGAAUCACUUGAAUCCAAGUGGAUCACUUAAGGUGAAGAGUUCGAGACCAGCCUGGCCAACGUGGUGAAACCUCGUCUCUACUACAAAUACAAAAAUAAGCCAGGCAUGGUGGUGCACGCCUAUAAUCCCAGCUACUCAGGAGGCUGAGGCACAAGAAUCGCUUGAACCCGGGAGGCAGAGGUUGCAGUGAGACAAGAUGGCACCACUGCACUCCAGCCUGGGCGACAGAGCAAGACUCUGUCUCCAAAAAAAAAAGUUGUGGCACUGAGGCAUCAACUUGAUUGAACCUCUAGAGGAUUAUAGUCUGAUGGAUAUGGCCAUCCUUGGUUUUACCAGUUUUUCAGAGCUCAGUCUGGGGGAAAGAAAAAAAAAAAAUUAUACUUCCCCACUUCCCCUAAGAAGUAACUGAUAUCUGGAGCCAACUUUGCAAGAUGGGAAGCACAAAAUGCAAGAGGAAAAGGUUAAACUAAAAAAGCCCCUGGAAGAAAGCCACAGGCUGCAACCCCACCCUAUGGAUGAACAGGAUCAGCUGCUGCUCUCUGAAAAGCCACAGGUGUGUCAGCUAUGCCAGGAAGAUGGCAGCCUAACAAAGAAUGUGUGUAAGAACUGCAGAGGAACCUUCUGUGAUGCCUGUUCAACAAAUGAACUGCCUCUUCCUUCAAGUAUCAAGCUUGAGCGAGUUUGCAAUCCCUGUCACAAGCAUCUGAUGAAGCAAUAUUUUACCAGCCCAUCAUAAGACUGGAGGCCAAGACCUAGACCAAAACGUUUACGCAGGCUCCUCUGUACCUGUGUUUUAGCUGUCAGGAUCUCAUAGAGCCCAGUUCU